rnacentral:rRNA from 1 species
UACGGAGGAUGCGAGCGUUAUCCGGAUUUAUUGGGUUUAAAGGGUGCGUAGGCGGAUUUGUAAGUCAGUUGUGAAAGUUUGCGGCUCAACCGUAAAAUUGCAGUUGAAACUGGCAGUCUUGAGUACAGUAGAGGUGGGCGGAAUUCGUGGUGUAGCGGUGAAAUGCUUAGAUAUCACGAAGAACUCCGAUUGCGAAGGCAGCUCACUGGACUGCAACUGACGCUGAGGCUCGAAAGCGUGGGUAUCGAACAGG